UCCAGUUGCGGCUUAUUGCAUCACAGUAAUUGCUGUACGAAGGUCAGAAUCGCUACCUAUUGUCCAAAGCAGUCGUAAGAAGAGGUCCCAAUCCCCCACUCUUUCCGCCCUAAUGGAGGUCUCCAGUUUCGGUAAAAGUUUCAUUUGAUCUGAAUAGUAUUAAAAUAAAAUACCUGGAUGAGGAAGAUGAAGAGGUGCUGGAAGCCCAGGAAGCACACAUCAAGGCUCCCUUGCCAGCAGGGUGCUGCCAAUAAAAGGUAGUCACGUGGAAUUUGGAAUGUGGAAAGGAGGUAGAAGUCAUCCUUUCCUCCCCUGUAGCAGCAGGCGUGCAGGCUCUGGUGGUCAGCUGGACUCCAUACUCCCCCACCAGUCACCAGCCUGGGGACCGUGGGGCUGCAAGGACCUCAGCAGCGGUGUCCCAAGUUUCCUGACUUCUUCCAUCCUCUGGAAAUCAGCUGUGUUUGCUGAGGAUAAUGGCCUCAAGAUCCAUCUGUGUUCCUACAAAAGAGAUGAUCUUGUUCUUUUUUAUGAUUGCACAUCUUUUGUUCUAACGUUUGGUCCUUCACCUUGGUUCCUGACACAAGGAUUCCUAAAUCCCUUGGAAUUUUCUGCAUGAUAGGAGCGUCCUUUGUUCUCAUGAGGUGACUCUUGGUGGGCUCCUUAUUUGGGGACUGGUCACCAAAAAUACCUAACUAUGGUUGGAAGCUUAGUGCUUUCAGCCCCAUUCCCCAUCCUCUGGGGUGGGGAGCAGAGCUGGAGCUCGAUCAUGCCUGCGUGACAAAGCCUCCAGAAAAAUCCUUGAAAGACAGGACAUGGAGAGCUGCUGGGUUGGCGAACACAUCCAUGUGCCGGGAGGAUGGUGCACCCCAACUCCACAAGGACCCUUCCAGACCUCACCCUGUGUAUCUCUUCAUCUGGCUGUUCAUUUGUAUCCUUUAAAAUAUCCUUUGUAAUAAAUCAGCAAUAGUAAGUAAACUA
rnacentral:lncRNA from 10 species